rnacentral:lncRNA from 1 species
AUGCGGCCCGGGCGGCGGCGCCUGCCGGCCCCUUCCCAGGCUCGUCCAGGUGGGAGUCCCCGUGGUCUUAGUUCCUCCUCUCUUUCUGCCAGGAACCCGCCUCGGUCCUCGGGGCCCUCCGCCCUCUGGGCCCCGCGCCUCCGUUCGGGCGGCCUCCGUCCGUUGCCCGCGAGGUCGGCCCCGGAGGCAGCCUCCCCGGCCUCCAGUGGACGCGGCCGCGAGCUUUCCUCCUGGCUGCCUGCGCAGUCGCGUUUUGUGCACCAGAGCCUAUGAAUUUUGAAGAUGAAUGAAGGUCAUGAUAAAUGUUUUCCAAAAACUUGAGAUAGAGGAUGGCUUUGAAAAAACCACUAGGAGCACAACAACAUGUAUAAGGUACCAAGUUAAUAUUAAAUUGUGUGCUUUUUAAAAUGUAUUUGUGGUAUUCUUGAAAAGCAGUACCAAAAAUUAAUACAUUUUUACAUAGAUAGGUUUAAUAACUGGCACAAUGAUGACUUAACUUUUUGCCGUUUACCCAGCUGAGGGUUUCUUUGAAGACAUAAUUUUAAGACUGAGAUGCCAGUAAUCUAUAUUGAUUAUGUGAAUUACUCAAAUAUAAUGUGGUUUUUUAAUUAAAAUGAGUGAAAUAUUCUUUUCAGUUUAUAGGUAGCUGCAGAUGAAUGUCAAAGUCCUUAGCUGUGCUGUUGAAAAUUCCUUCAUUGCCUCAAGUAAUUAUGAUUUAUGAAGCAACUACAUCUACUUAUAAUUCACAGGUAUCUGAUAAACUCCAAAGGGCUGGGGCCAUUUCCUGUUAAAGUUGCCUUUGUGUGUCAGGGUAUGAUUUUCUUUGAGUUUGAGUCUGGAAUGAUUUUCACUGUUGGUUUCUUUUUGUUUUUCUGAGGUUACCACAUUUUGGAAGGAAAAAAUGAAGAAUUGGUCAAGACGACAUGAAAUGAUGAAAAUUAGUAUUUUAUUUAACAUUGAUCACCUCACAGUAAAUUAUAUAGGAAAAUAAAUGUUUGACUACUUUUGAUUGCUGGGCA